rnacentral:lncRNA from 1 species
AUCGUAAUAAUAGAAACCAGAGAUUGAACCCCUACUAUGUGGUAGGCAGAGUACCAGGUGCUUUAUAUCUGAUGACUCACUGGGUGUGCUGUUACCCUUGUGAAUUAACAGGUACUCCAAGCUAGGCCCUUGGGUAAUGGUCCCCCUUGUCACAGGAUUCUCCCUCCAUCUGCAAGAAUUUGCUUUUGAGCCUGGGAUCUUUGGCCAGAUCUGAGGAUCUGUGUGAUCCUCGGGUUUCUAGGCAAGAGGACUUCUUAAGUGAAGCAGGAUAUGAUUUGAGUCUCCUCCCCUGAUAUUUAACAGGUGCCAGCAGCCACUCAGGACACCCAGUGGAACUCACCUUCACCAUCCCACCCCGUCGCUAUAACAAUCAUCCCUGGCUUCAAAUCCCAUUCUUUUUUUUUUUUUUUUUUUUUUUUUUAAGGCCACACAUUCUGCAUAUGGAAGUUUCCAGGCUAGGGGUUGAAUCAGAGCUGUGGCUGCUGGCCUGUGUCAUGGCCACAGCAAUGCCAGAUCUGAGCCACGUCUGCAGCCUACACCACAACUCACAGCAUGGGUUAACGAUCCGGCGUUGCCGUGAGCUGUGGUGUAGGUUGCAGACGCGGCUCAGAUCCCACGUUGCUGUGGCUCUGGCGUAGGCUGGUGGCUACAGCUCCAAUUCAACCCCUAGCCUGGAAACCUCCAUAUGUCGCGGGAGCGGCCCAAGAAGUGGCAAAAAGACAAAAAAAAAAAAAAAAAGAAAUUGAAUCANUAUGAAAAAAAUAUAUAUAUUCUUAUAUAUUUCUUUUUUCUUUUUCAUAUGGUUUAUAACAGGAUAUUGAAUAUAGCUAGUUCCCUGUGCUAUACAGAAGGAUCUCCUUUAUCUAUUUCUAUAUAGUAGUUUGUAAAUUUCUACACAAAUUUUAGAGUUGGAUGUUGAUUUCUGUGAAAGAAAAAAAAAAAAAAGCCAACUGCUUAAUUUUUUUUUUUUUUUUUUUUUUUUUUUUUUUUUGUCUUUUUAGGACCACACCCGAGGCAUAUGGAGGUUCCCAGGCUAGGGUCGAAUUGGAGCUGUCACUGCUGGCUUAUGCCACAGCCACUGCAAUGCUGGAUCCUUAAUCCCCUGAGCAAGGCCAGGGAUGGAACCUACAUCCUCAUGGAUGCUAGUCAGAUUUAUUUCUGCUGAGCCAUGAUGGGAACUCUGAAAAAUAGCUUAAUUUGAGGAGAAUUGAUAUCUCAACAAUAUUGAGUCUUUCAAUCCAUAAACAUUGUGUAUCUAUCCAUUUAAUGUUCAUUUAAUUAGGUCUUCUUAAAAUUUUUGUAGGAAUAUUUUAUAGUUUCCUGUAUAAAAUUUCUCACAUAUUUUGCUAAAUUUAUCCAAAAUUAAGUUUUUGUGUUAUUAUUAGUGAUACUUUUAUACUUUUAUUUCUAACAUUAUUGCUAAUAUAUAGAAAUAUAUUUGAUUUUGUAUAUUGACUUUUUAAUCAUGUGAUCUUACCAAAUUUAUUUAUUCUUGUUUUUUUCACCAUGCCUGCAGCAUGUGGAAGUUCCCAGGUCAGAGACUGAACCCAAGCCAUAGCAGUGACCCAAGCCACUGGGUUGACAACACAGGAUCUUAACCCACAGCACCACAGGGGAACUCCUAUUUAUUAGUUUUGAUAGCUUUUUGUGGGUACUUUAUGACUUCCAAAAUAGACAAUCGUUUUGUCUUUGAAUAAAGAUAAUUUCCUUUU